GUUUACAGAGAACACUUUGAGGAAAAUGGUUUGGAAAAAGAUCCAACAAGGAGCUCUCACGAUAUUUCUCUGACCGGCCUUAUCAUCAACAAGGCAUUGUUAAAGAAAGGUGCAAAGUAUUCAAAAUCUCAGUGCUCUUGCUGAUCACUUUUCAUGCCAGCUACUUCUGAAGUUACCCAACAAACUGUCGAGUACAUCAGAAAGACAGGAACUCAACUUCAAGUGAGAGGAAAAUUUGGCUCAAAAUGCUCUAGGAUUAUGAGACUUUAGACACAUUAAAGGUAGUGUUUAUGGCUGCAUGAUUUACACCAAAUACAUGGUUGUGUGUUAAUAUGCUAUGUAGAAAGGUCUUCUAAUGCUUUUUAGCUAUUACUUCAUUUGAGACAUAUUUAUAACAAAUGGUUUGUAGAAAUUUGCUAAA